UACGAAGGGGCUAGCGUUGUUCGGAAUCACUGGGCGUAAAGGGCGCGUAGGCGGCUUGAUAAGUCGGGGGUGAAAGCCUGUGGCUCAACCACAGAAUUGCCUUCGAUACUGUCUGGCUUGAGACCGGAAGAGGUAAGUGGAACUGACGAGUGUAGAGGUGAAAUUCGUAGAUAUUCGCAAGAACACCAGUGGCGAAGGCGGCUUACUGGUCCGGUU
rnacentral:rRNA from 1 species